GCUUGCUGCUUUGCUGACGAGUGGCGGACGGGUGAGUAAUGUCUGGGAAACUGCCUGAUGGAGGGGGAUAACUACUGGAAACGGUGGCUAAUACCGCAUAACGUCGCAAGACCAAAGAGGGGGACCUUCGGGCCUCUUGCCAUCAGAUGUGCCCAGAUGGGAUUAGCUUGUUGGUGAGGUAACGGCUCACCAAGGCGACGAUCCCUAGCUGGUCUGAGAGGAUGACCAGCCACACUGGAACUGAGACACGGUCCAGACUCCUACGGGAGGCAGCAGUGGGGAAUAUUGCACAAUGGGCGCAAGCCUGAUGCAGCCAUGCCGCGUGUAUGAAGAAGGCCUUCGGGUUGUAAAGUACUUUCAGCGGGGAGGAAGGUGUUGUGGUUAAUAACCGCAGCAAUUGACGUUACCCGCAGAAGAAGCACCGGCUAACUCCGUGCCAGCAGCCGCGGUAAUACGGAGGGUGCAAGCGUUAAUCGGAAUUACUGGGCGUAAAGCGCACGCAGGCGGUCUGUCAAGUCGGAUGUGAAAUCCCCGGGCUCAACCUGGGAACUGCAUUCGAAACUGGCAGGCUUGAGUCUUGUAGAGGGGGGUAGAAUUCCAGGUGUAGCGGUGAAAUGCGUAGAGAUCUGGAGGAAUACCGGUGGCGAAGGCGGCCUCCUGGACAAAGACUGACGCUCAGGUGCGAAAGCGUGGGGAGCAAACAGGAUUAGAUACCCCUGGUAGUCCACGCCGUAACGAUGUCUACUUGGAGGUUGUGCCCUUUGAGGCGUGGCUUCCGGAGCUAACGCGUUAAGUAGACCCGCCUGGGGAGUACGGUCCGCAAGGGUUAAAACUCAAAUGAAUUGACGGGGGG
rnacentral:rRNA from 1 species